GGGCGAGUAGGAGCCCAGUCCGCUCACGGCCUCUCGGCCUUGGAACAACUCCCCGAGGUGACCCGAGCCCGAGUCCCGCUCGGGAGCCCGCGAGGCCUCGGCUCCGCCCACGUUAGCCGCCAGCAGCGAGUUGACGCCGGACAUAAAGCCGUUAAAACACGGGCUGUGCUCGGCCGAGUCGGACGGCGACGACCGGGGCUCCGUGGAGGUAGGAGAGCCGCGGAGGCUGGGCGGAGAGGAGCUGAGCAAGCUGGCCGUGUCUGAGAGCUUGUGCUGGGCGUCCGAGUCCGGGUUGUCCCCCGCUGUGAUGUCGGUUCGUCUUUUUCGCUUCCGGCGAAAGUUGCCGUUGUCGAACAUCUUUUCGCAGUUGGGGUCCAGCGUCCAGUAGUUCCCCUUUCCUGGAUCAAAAAUGAGGGUUAAAAUCCCUUUUUAAAACUAAAAAGUUGUAGUUCAUUUCCAAGGUAAGCUAAAGUCGGGGUUAGCUAACCACGACGCCAAUUCUAACGCAAUUAGACAUUUAGUACAUUUUAUAUAGCCACGGAGUUAGAAACUAAAAUAUAUUUUAGUUUCCACUUUUUAGCGAAAGAGCAACGCAAGCCAGACUCACCGGGGUCGUCCUCGUCCCGGGCCACCUUCUUGAAGCAGUCGUUGAGAGAGAGAUUGUGGCGUAUGGAGUUCUGCCAGCCGGCUUUGCUCUUCUUGUAGAAGGGGAAGUUAUCGGCCACGUACUGGUAGAUCUGACUCAGGGUCAGUUUCUUGUCCUGGGCGCUCUGGAUGGCCAUGGCGAUCAGAGCCGAGUACGAGUACGGAGGCCGGACCAUCUUGAAGAGCUCCUGCUGGCCGGAGAUGGACAGCCAGCCCAGGUCGGCGCCACCCAGACCUCCCGGGGCGCCCAGGAGCUGCCUCUGCCCGGAGCCGAAGCCGGACUGCAGGUAGGUGGAGCCGCUGCCCCCCGCUGGGAGGUACGGCGAGGAGGAGGAGUUGAUGCCGGUGCCGUUGAGCCACAGGUAGGGGUUGGUGGGCGGGGUGGCGUAGUCGCCGAGCCCGUAGCCGGAGGGGUGGCUGGCGGCUCUCUGGGGAUGGUGAUGGAAGUUCUGGUGCUGGUAGACGCCGUAGUUGUCGCAGUAGACGGCCAUGUCUAGGAGGUCCUGGGCGCUGUGGUGCUGGAGGGGGCUGCUCUGCUGGUUCGGGGGUCCAAAGGCGUUCAUAAUCCGAACCUCGUCUGUGCUCGUCUUUGCCUCCGGACUGAACUCCACUCGGGACGGGAGGGGUAUUUAUGGGCAGGGGCCGGGUGGAGCCCGCUGAAGAGAACUUUUUUUUAGGGUCGCCCCCGGUUCUGUCCCCCCCCACCCCCACCCCCCCUUUCUGAAGCCACUUGAAACAAGUCAAUCUGCCUUUGAAUGAGCACCGAUACCAUCUUUUCUUCUGCGUAAUUACGCACAAGGAGCCUCGCUUUAAAAAAAAAAACUUAAAUGAAAUCAAACUUAACUACAGAGAAUCAAUACAUUACAUAAUUAGUGAUUCUAAAUAUUUGAGUAAAGACGAAAUUGCUUCAAUUUUAAAUACAGGACAUAUUAAAAAAAAUAGUAAGGUUUUAUUAAUUUAAUCACAUUACAUUUUUUAUUCAUUAAAUGAAUUUAAAAUGGAACGAUUCACCAUUAGACAGCUAAAUGAGUGCUAUGUAUAAUAAUAAUAAUAAUAAAUAUAAGAGAAAUAAGAACUGUAAAAGUGUAGUGUAAUAGUGUAUUGUAGAUUUUAAACUUUUUGCUAUUGUCAAAACAUAUAGUCAUUCUAAAAAGGUUGUUUGAAAUGAUACAUGAACAAAUAAAUAAUUAUGAAAUCAGAAAUGUAUUACUACUUUAGAUCAACUCUGCAUUUCAUAUGGUAAAAUAGCUAUGAAAAAUAUGCCUUAUUUGUUGUAAAACAUUUUUUUAAAGUUAUGAGAUAAGACAGUCACAAAUGUAAGUUAAAGGUAGAUAUUAUGUGUUAUAAUAUACUAUAUAGGUACAUAAAAGUGGAUGGCAGCACAAUGACUCAUUUGAGUUGCAUUCAAAGUCACGUCCAUGUUUCAUGGAGAGGCACGACAACCACUCCAUACUUUCGACAAUGUCAUUUGUACUUGAAGUGUUUGUUUCUGUUGUUCCGUCAAAGUCACUGCAAUUGUUGUUCUUGUCUCUUUUUGUCUUCUUUUCUAUCCCCUCCUGCUCCAAAUUUGCACAACAACAAAACAUCAAAUAAAGCCAAAUAAUACUCCGUAUAAUAGGGGUAAUAAGAGGUAGCUUACAUUUGUCCCUGGCAGAGCAAAUCUGUCUAGCAUGUAAGGGUAUUUAUAUUAAUAAUACUAUCUGACCCAAUGGCUGCACAGGACAAGAAAAAAAGACAAGCGUUUGUAUGUCCUUAAAAGGGUAAACCCCGCCCCCUUGCAUCCCUAAAUGUAACUAAAGUGAGCCUAUAUGUUGUGUAGGCCGUCAGAUUCAAGUUGACAGAUGUCAAACAGGUCACGACAACGUCCGAGUCUUGAGUCUGCAUUGUUGGUCUGUCAUCCUUCAUUGCUGCUUUUUCCCUCCUAAGAGGAUCAAGGGAAUCCCUGCAGGAUGGCAAACCUCCACAGGUUGACAACAGUAAGUACAGCCAGUUGGGGGGAAGAGCAAGGAAGAAGCCAUUGAAGUCCAUCCCUUGUGAGCUUUGAUGUGCCGGGGAGGCCAGUCUCUUCACAUUCCAACUGUCAAACAUCCGACCUUUCGUCUUCUACCGUGGUGAGUAUUCUUCAUUUGGUCAGGACCCAGAUACGUUAGCACUGCUCCCCAGGUCACUGCGAGUUCCAUUUCCUGUUUUAUGGUCGUCAUCAUCCUUCUGUGCGUCACUGGGAUACGUUGAGGGGUUCCAUCACAAGCACGCCACCACAUAAAAACACGUAGAAAAAGUCUCCAACAUGUGGAGUUCCUCAUUUAGCUGAAGCCUCACGUGAUGUCGACUGGAAGUUGAAGGUGCUCGAUCCUCCACUCAGAGGUUGUUUGGGGUAGGUUCACACCCCUGCUUGUUUUGGGUGCUUUGGUGCAGCAGCUGUAAUCGUUCCUUUUCACUACGUCUAAAUCCUUCUUACCUCAUGUUUUGUCCACUGCUUUUCAGUUGCUGAAUUGAAAAUGAGCUCCCCUGCUGGAGCCUACUACACGGGCAUAUGUUAUGGUAAGCUCAAAAAUACAUUCAAGGGUAAAGAAAGAAACAACCCCAAUGAACAUGAACAUGAAAUAAAGCCGCCUCCAGGCAGCUGUUUAAAGCACCCAAGCGGCAUCGUACCCGCACAUGCCGUCUUUAAGUGCAAUCAAACGUGAUUGAUUGACAGGCAGCCGUGAUUCAAGUGGGUGUGAACACGGCCGCUAGAAGGCAAAGCAGAUAUUUACAAGGACAAACGUGGACGUUUGGCAG